UUAUCUGUAAAUUGUACAAAGGGACAAAGUAAAAUAUUAGUUGAUUGAUGACACCAGUGGAUGAUGUGUAAUUAAGGCAUAAAUAUUUCUAUUGAAUAUUUAUAAUAAGGUGAUCAAGAUGGCUACAUAUUCUAAGUCAACCGUGGCUAGUGGCUCUGAUUCAGUUAUUGACUUUUGUUGUUUCCCCUGUUUAGAGCACAAAAUUGACCAGUGGGCUGACUUUUACUGCGAAAACUGUCAGAAAUUUUAUUGUGCAAAAUGUAUUAAUCUGCAUAGUCCGUUGUUUGGGACACAUGUGACAUACGGAAGGGGAGACACAAGUAAGUGGCCAGUGGCCAAGGAAGUGGAGGAUUUCCUUCAGAAGUGUGACCUUCAUGACGACAAACAUCUGGAAAUGUUUUGUGAGGACCACAGUCAGCUGUGCUGCACUAAUUGUGCUUUCCUAAAUCACAGACAAUGUGCUAAAGUAACACUGAUAUCCGAGUCAGUUAAAGGAACUCCACCAAACUUGCAGCAACUAUCAAGAAAAAUCCAAAGCAUUCUUGAAGAAAUCAAGAAACUUCAGAAUUAUUGGGAUACCAACAUGCAGUCUUUACAGGCUUCAUACGACAAACAAUUAUAUGCAAUACAUGACACACGCAAAAAAAUUAAUAGUAUUCUAGACAACAUUGAAAAAAACACCAUGAAAGAGCUAGAUGAUAAGUUGGCCAGUCUGAAAGCAUCUGUCAAGACUGAUGCAGACAAUAGCAGCAAACUCAAAAAUGAACUCAAGCAACUCAAUGACGCAAAACACGACAUUGUUGAUAAGGGAAAAGCAGAACUCACAUUUAUUGCAAGUAAGAAAUGUAUGGAAAAGAUUAAGCAGUCUGAAACAUAUCUGAAGCAGAACUCGUUUCAGGUUGAAAGUUCACUGACAUUCCAGGCAGACAGGGAUUUUCAACAGUACUUGUCUAAAUUGUCAGGUCUGGGGAAGAUUGUACUCAGUACCAAGGAAACAUUAGUGUUAGUUGAUCCAGACCAGGCACUCACUGUACAAGGGAAGUCAGAGUAUAAUGUGCGCCUACAGAGUGAUUCAGAUAAGAACUGCUACAUGUAUAUCAAUGCCAUUUGUGUUCUCUCUGAGGAUCAGAUCCUUGUUGCAGAUACAAAUAAUAAAAGAGUUAAGCUACUCAAUCAUCAAUACCAGGUGGUGGGUCAUUAUGAUUUAAAUGGUUUGCCAUGGGACAUGUGUAAAAUCACACCAAGUGAAGUAGCUGUUUCUGUGGAUGACACUAGGACACAUGAGGUCCAGUUUGUCUCUGUGAAUGGUGGGCAGCUGGUUAAGGGCAGGAUGUUACAGUUUCAACAUGCAUGUAUUGGUAUUGCUCAUAUUAUGCAAGACCUGUAUCUCACUUCUCGCACUGCACUUUACAAGUAUUCAAUGAAAGGAGCCCUGUUGACUAAGUUGUAUGAAGAUACAUCAGACAAGGCUACAGAUUGGGGUCAUGUUGGUAAAGAAGUUUGCAAGAUAUGAAAGCACAAGAGUUCCGCGGUCGGAGAUGACCGCAUUGAAGCCGGAUUUUUGAUUUAAAUGACAGUAUUGAAGUGUGCAGUGAGUCCUUCAGGUGACAAGAUAUUUAUCACCAACAAUUCCCAUCACAAGGUCCUCACCCUGGCCAGAGAUGGCACAGUUCUCCAAACCUUCACAGACCCAGACCUACAAGACCCAUGGGGUAUCCAUGUGACUGCUCUGGGACAGGUGCUGGUCUGUGGAGAGUCAUCCAGAACUAUCAUUCAGCUGGAUGGGGAAGGCAAGAAGAAGCUGGCAACUCUUGCUACCAGGAAGGAUGGUCUUGAUGAUACAAUCUCAGUCUGCUUCAAUAGGAGCACAGCAUCCAUCAUUGUGGGACAAUGGUCUAGCGAUAACAUCCUUGUGUUUAGAGUAAAAUAGGUGUUUUUUCACAAGUUUCAGUACAAACAUUUUGGAACAUGUAAUUUACAUGAAUUCUUGGCCACACCAAACUUGUAUUCAAUGUUACGUUUCAUCACAUAAUUCACAUGGAUGAUUUAUUGUCUUGCCUACUAAUGUCAAAUCAUGAAUAUGUUUGAAAACGUACAUUUAAAAUUAACUUUGAGAGCAUGGAUCUAUUAUUUAGUGCUUUGUUUCAAUGCAUAAUUCUUGCGGGAUUAUAUAUUGUGUUGCAAUACAAUUUAAUAUGCGCUACCAUCUAUUGCUGAUAAUUAUUUUUCCUUUUCAAUCCCAUAUAAUCAGUGUAUUGUUUUUUUCUUGAUAUAUAUCUAAAAAAUGAAUAACAUGUACAUACAUGAUUUUUUUUUGUGGUUAUGUUCUAUAAUAUUUUUGUGUAAUUGUUAUGCACAGUAAAAAGAACGGCAGAGUGCAAUUAAGGAGGGAGGUUUUACAUUUUCAUUGUAUUAUUGAACAGUCCCCAUGUGUUUUAUAAUAAAAUAUAUAGUUAUUUAGAUUGACAAUUAUGUAUUGUACAGACUUUUUUAAUGGUUGUUUUUAGAUUUUACUUUUGUUGAUUACAGUUAUAUAUGUAUUUACUAGUGUCAUUCAUGCUAUCUGCCUUUACUGUUCACUAUGUUUUGCUGAAUAAAUUAACUUUUAAUUAUGUUCACAUGCCCCUUUGUCCUUUGCAUUUUCUUCCAAUCAAAUAUACAAAUAUUUGCAUUAUCUGUGUUAACUACAUGAAUAGACACUAUUUUGUGUAUUAAAGUUACAUUUCCAAA